rnacentral:pre_miRNA from 1 species
CGGGGGAGGCCGGAUCCUGGGCUGUGUCCCGGCGCCCUGUGCUCCGGGGCCUGCGCUGUUGGAUUCGCGCUCCCGGGCCCCGCAGCCCCCU